rnacentral:rRNA from 1 species
AUUGAACGCUGGCGGCAGGCCUAACACAUGCAAGUCGAGCGGAUGAGUGGAGCUUGCUCCAUGAUUCAGCGGCGGACGGGUGAGUAAUGCCUAGGAAUCUGCCUGGUAGUGGGGGACAACGUUUCGAAAGGAACGCUAAUACCGCAUACGUCCUACGGGGGAAAGUGGGGGAUCUUCGGACCUCACGCUAUCAGAUGAGCCUAGGUCGGAUUAGCUAGUUGGUGAGGUAAAGGCUCACCAAGGCGACGAUCCGUAACUGGUCUGAGAGGAUGAUCAGUCACACUGGAACUGAGACACGGUCCAGACUCCUACGGGAGGCAGCAGUGGGGAAUAUUGGACAAUGGGCGAAAGCCUGAUCCAGCCAUGCCGCGUGUGUGAAGAAGGUCUUCGGAUUGUAACGCACUUUAAGUUGGGAGGAAGGGCAGUAAGUUAAUACCUUGCUGUUUUGACGUUACCAACAGAAUAAGCACCGGCUAACUUCGUGCCAGCAGCCGCCGUAAUAC